rnacentral:rRNA from 1 species
UAGGGAAUCUUCCACAAUGGGCGAAAGCCUGAUGGAGCAACGCCGCGUGAGUGAUGAAGGCCUUCGGGUUGUAAAACUCUGUCAUUCGGGACGAACCGGAGUCUGAGGAAAUGCAGACUCUCUGACGGUACCGGAGGAGGAAGCCCCGGCUAACUACGUGCCAGCAGCCGCGGUAAUACGUAGGGGGCAAGCGUUGUCCGGAUUCACUGGGCGUAAAGCGCGCGCAGGCGGUGAUGUAAGUCUGAUGUGAAAACCCGAAGCUCAACUUCGGGACUGCCUUGGAUACUGCGUCACUUGAGGAUAGGAGAGGCAAGGGGAAUUCCACGUGUAGCGGUGAAAUGCGUAGAGAUGUGGAGGAACACCUGUGGCGAAGGCGCCUUGCUGGCCUAUUUCUGACGCUGAGGCGCGAAAGCGUGGGGAGCAAACAGG